rnacentral:rRNA from 1 species
UGGGGGAUAUUGCACAAUGGGCGAAAGCCUGAUGCAGCGACGCCGCGUGGGGGAUGAAGGCUUUCGGGUUGUAAACCUCUUUCGCUAUCGAACAAGGCUCGCUUAGGGUGGGUUGAGGGUAGGUGGAGAAGAAGCGCCGGCUAACUACGUGCCAGCAGCCGCGGUCAUACGUAGGGCGCGAGCGUUGUCCGGAAUUAUUGGGCGUAAAGGGCUUGUAGGCGGCUUGUUGCGCCUGCUGUGAAAACGCGGGGCUUAACUUCGCGCGUGCAGUGGGUACGGGCAGGCUUGAGUGUAGUAGGGGUGAGUGGAAUUCCAGGUGUAGCGGUGGAAUGCGCAGAUAUCUGGAGGAACACCGAUGGCGAAGGCAGGUCACUGGGCCAUUACUGACGCUGAGGAGCGAAAGCAUGGGUAGCGAACAGG